rnacentral:rRNA from 1 species
UGCCAGAGCCAUAUCUCUCUGCAGUUCUUCCCCUGGUGUCCAACUGAAGCUAAGCAGCAUUGAGCCUGGCCAGUACCUGGAUAGGAGACCUCCUGAGGAAAACAAAGUGGUAUUAGUGA